GCAUUUCUCUGAGGCACCAGCUGACGAGAUGUGGGCGCAUGUACGUAGGAAUUAAAUUCAUCCUCUGGAUAAAUAAUAGAGAGGCAAGUUGCGUUUAGGCGCAUUUGGCUUAAGGCCCAAUUCCUUAACUGGAAUCACAUUGAGCUCGUUGAGCUCACUCUACAGAGAAGCCAUUUUUAUGUGUCUAGGCCUUUUUUUUUGUUUUCUGGAGAUGAUAAAUCAUGGUGUCGCUGCAGUUCUCGCCCCCUGGACAAAUCUUAGACGUAAUCCCAGCUCUGCCGGUGACUCAGCUUCCCUGGAUCUUGGUUUCCUCGUCUGUAGACUGGGCAUAACCCUACAGGUUCAUGUGGGGUGGGUGGCGCGCGCUAGCGGUGAAGGUCACUCACAAUUGCGCGCUGGGCAGACGACGGCAGCCAUUACUUUUACCUCGAUCGCUGUUUUCCUGGAUCCGCACGGGUCCAACCCGACUCAUCCCAACCAACCUGAGGUAUGAAAACCAGGAAAGAGAGCUAGCACCGGAGCGUUGGUGGUAUAGUGGUAAGCAUAGCUGCCUUCCAAGCAGUUGACCCGGGUUCGAUUCCCGGCCAACGCAAGUCGUUUUGGGUGUUUUUUCCCCCCCCCGCCUUUUCCUUUUCGUGUUUUCUGGGCCCCAGCAUCGUUGAGGGUUUUCGUGAGGUUUUCCUGAGGAAACUUCCGCUCCGAAAGGACCCACUUUCCGCUACACCCGCGACCACGGCUGGACCACCGCGCUCCUGACGGAUGCGCCCUGCAAGCCCCUCCAGGCGAGAGCAGCGCGUCGGAAUCUCGGCCCGGGGUUGCCUACUGUUCCCGGAUCGCAGUGCGAAUCCACAAAAAGCAGGGAGGCGAAAGGAAACAAAAGCCCGGGCUCUGCACCCUGGACGGCUGGGGGCCAAAGCUACUUGCCCAGGUUCAAGCAGAGACUGGAAAUGCGCACUUCCGUCAAGGAGGGAGCAAGCUAGGCCAAGUCUGAGCGCUAAUGAGCAUACUGAGCAGAGCAGAUAAUGGCCACUUUAGGUACACGUUUGAACUCUAAGUUGCUUGAAGUAAAAUGGAAACUUAGAAUGCGAGCUGGAGAGGAAGGCCAAACUCUCCUCCCCUCCUCCUUUCCCUCUUUUUUAUAGCUCCAUCCCAGGGACCAGGACGGAUUUAAUGAAAGCAAAAAGAUAGAAGUUUCAAAACUGCUAGUACUCUCCCCGUCGGGGAAUCGAACCCCGGUCUCCCGCGUGACAGGCGGGGAUACUCACCACUAUACUAACGAGGAGGGACCUGUAGAGACCUUUCUCCGAAUCCUUGAUCUGAGACUUUACACUCUGCGUGCUGACAGCAGGGUUCCUAGGGGUUCUGUUCUUCCAACCACUGAUAAACGCUGACCAGAAACCGUAGGUGUAUUUCAGGCACCAAUCGUCAGAUGGAGUGACCGAAAGAGACAGAGUGCCUUCAGGACUGCAGAGAACCAAGUUUUGACAGUUCCUGGGCUCUCCCGAACACUGUCAUCCACAACUAUAGAUUGACGCGUGUCAAUCAAAGCGAAACCAGGCUGUGGUGGCCGAGUUGAGACACCAGGAAGGAAGUCAGGAAGCAGAAAGGGAGGGACCUGCCCAAGUCUGGGCGUGCCUCGUCUCUUCCUGACAUGCCAGGCGGGUCUGGGGAUUGAGAUGCUUUCUGCUACCGCGGUGCCACAAAAGAGCUUACUGUACAUUGAUGACUUACAGUCAAGCCUCCUGCAGCGCUGGUCAGGUAACCUAUUCCUUGAAGACACUCU
rnacentral:tRNA from 1 species